AAAAGACUAAAAUCUGAUUUUCUAUCUCCCGUUCCCCUUCUCCUUCCCCGUUCCACUUCUCUGUCAUCCAAUACACGCCUCACAGUCAGACCUUCGCCGUCGUCCAAAACAGACCCUACGGCCAAAGCCCUUCUCCAUCAUCCAAAACCCAGACCCAUAUUAGCAUCCUUGUGACUAGCAAUACGAAAAAGCUCCAGAAACCUGUCCCUUGAUGUAAUCCACCCACACCAUGGGUGCUAGAAUCUAUAAGGAUCCAUCUUCCACCUUGAGAUUCACAAACCUAAAACUCCUCCAAAACCCGAUCCCAUUCCCCUUCUCCGUCGUCCAAAACGCCUCUGAAGUGAUUCACUCCAAUCGCAGAUACAGGGAUUUUCACUUCCUAACCCUAGGGUGUGUUGGGUUUUGGCCUUCAACUGCAACUGAAGCCAGUCUCCUCUGUAAAAGAAGUCCAAACCCGAGAUUUGCAUAAGCAUGUACCAGAAAAUGUUAAUGGAGCUCUUCAUUUCUCUAUUAAGGUUGGUAGAAUUGUGGGCCAAUUUGUAAAACCAAGAUUAGUGCUAUUGCAAGGCCUUUGCUACCUAGCCUAUGCUACUAUGCAGAAGGUUGGAUUUCAUGGAGCAAAGGAUUGCCAUUUCAUAUUCAGAUUCACUUUGGUUUUCUUUAUUUUUCUUUAUGUUUGCUAGCCCACCAAUGAGCUUAAAUAUAAUUUCAAUCCAUUGAUAUCGAACCAUACUAUUAUAUUGUUGUUUUGUUAUGAAAGUCUAAUAUCUAGCAACAAGCUUCUUCUUUUUUUCCUA